CACGUAGGGCGCAAGCGUUGUCCGGAAUUAUUGGGCGUAAAGAGCUCGUAGGCGGUCUGUUGCGUCCGCUGUGAAAACUCGGGGCUUAACCCCGAGCCUGCAGUGGAUACGGGCAGACUAGAGGUAGGUAGGGGAGAAUGGAAUUCCCGGUGUAGCGGUGAAAUGCGCAGAUAUCGGGAGGAACACCGGUGGCGAAGGCGGUUCUCUGGGCCUUACCUGACGCUGAGGAGCGAAAGCGUGGGGAGCGAACAGGGAUUGAGAUACCC
rnacentral:rRNA from 1 species